GACGAACGCUGGCGGCGUGCUUAACACAUGCAAGUCGAACGGGUCUGCCCUGUUUUUUGCGGGGUGGGUCUGUGGCGAACGGGUGAGUAACACGUUAGUAACCUGCCCCUCACUUCUGGAUAACCGCUUGAAAGGGUGGCUAAUACGGGGUGUUCUUGCUGUGCCGCAUGGUUUGGCUGGGAAAGACUCACUUUUUUGGUGUUUUGGUUGGGGCUGGGCUCGCGGCCUAUCAGCUUGGUGGGGGGGUGGUGGACUGCCAAGGCUUUGACGGGUCGCCGGCCUGGGAGGGUGGGCGGUCACACUGGGACUGAGAUACGGCCCAGACUCCGGCGGGAGGCAGCAGGGGGGGGUAUUGCAUAAUGGGCGGAAGCCUGAUGCAGCGACGUCGCGUGAGGGAUGGAGGCCUGCGGGUUGUGAACCUCUUUCGCCGGUGAAGAAGGUCCUGCUCUUUGUGGUGGGGUUGACGGUAGCCGGGUUAUGAAGCGCCGGCUAACUACGUG
rnacentral:rRNA from 1 species